GCCUGAAGAGACCCAGUACUGGAGGCUACAGGUUCUUUGGUGGGGCUAAUGGCAGACUCCAGGAGGGCUCAUGCCAAGGAGUAUUUACCAGAGCUUCUGCUGUCAGUGUCCUUGUCCUCACGGUGAGCCACAGCCGUCUCCUACCUCUGUAGGAGACCUUCCAACACUAGCAGGUGGAUGAAUGGGAUGAUCGAUGAGUGUUCUAGAAAGGUCAUUCAGGCUGAGGUUUGGAUUGGACUGAGAAGGAGCCUACUAGCAAGGAGGUCCAUGGGUUUUGCACAGGCUCCAGACGCGCAGGCUCAGCGGCCAUGGCUCACGGGCCUAGCCACUCCGUGGCAUAUGGGAUCUUCCUGAACCGGGACAUGAACCCGUGUCCCCUGCAUCAGCAGGCAGACUCUCAACCACUGCGCCACCAGGGAAGCCCUCUCUAGUGCUUGUUCAACAAAGACUUGUUGAGAUUGGAAGAAACAAGACCAGCUGGGUAAUUUGCAGCCUUCCAAAUAUAAAGUGAUGGGAAAUGAGUGAUGGUAAUAAGGAUGGCAAUAAAGACAUCAUAAAGAAGGCCCAGUGUAAUCAUAAGCAUCUUUAAAAGUGGAAAAGGGAGGCAGAAAAGAAGAUUGGAGUGAUCUGAUGUGAGAAAGACUCAACCUGCUGUUCCUGGUUUUGAAGAUGGAGUAAGAGGACCAUGAACCAUGGCAUGUGGGCAGCUUCUAGAAGCUUAAAGCAAGGAAACGGACUUUCCCCUAGAGCCUCCUGAAAGAGCGUAUUUCUGCUGAAUCUUGAUUUUAAUCCAGUGAGACCUCUGUUGGUCUUCUAACCUACAGAACUGUAAGAUAAUAUAUUUGUAGGUUUAAACCAUAAGCUCAUGGUCAUUUCCUACAGCAGCAAUAGGAACCUGAUAUACUCCUGGAGCUGCCACAUCUCUUUCCCCUGGACGUGGGUUGCUUCACUCACACCUGCAUGCCUGACACACUUUGCCUUCCUCUUAUCUCAGUUUCAACAUAUUCACCCUUCCCUCUUUCAGGGCACUUCCAGAAACACAGGGAUAUUUCUGUACAGACCCUGAAAUACAGAAAUAUUUUCAUUUUCCCCAAGAAAAGCUUAGACCUUGUAAGAGUCAGCAAACCUUAGUCCACAGGCCAAAUCUGGCUGAUGGUUGUUUUUGAAAAUAAAGUUUUAUUGGAACACAUUCAUUUGCAUAUUGUUUAUGGCUGCUUUCAUACUAUAAAGGCAAAGUUAAAUAGU